UGGCUCAGAACGAACGCUGGCGGCAGGCCUAACACAUGCAAGUCGAGCGGCAGCGGGAAGUAGCUUGCUACUUUGCCGGCGAGCGGCGGACGGGUGAGUAAUGUCUGGGAAACUGCCUGAUGGAGGGGGAUAACUACUGGAAACGGUAGCUAAUACCGCAUGACCUCGCAAGAGCAAAGUGGGGGACCUUCGGGCCUCACGCCAUCGGAUGUGCCCAGAUGGGAUUAGCUAGUAGGUGAGGUAAUGGCUCACCUAGGCGACGAUCCCUAGCUGGUCUGAGAGGAUGACCAGCCACACUGGAACUGAGACACGGUCCAGACUCCUACGGGAGGCAGCAGUGGG
rnacentral:rRNA from 1 species